rnacentral:lncRNA from 1 species
CAUGAGAACCCCAGGCAAGUGCGGACCUACAAAGUUUGUCCGCUCCGGGGCACUGUAGUGGCUUUUACCCUGGCCGGGCGGGCGGGGCUCAGCCGGGCUGGGCUGGGCUCCGCGGCUGGAGCCGGGCUCUACCCAGAGCAAGACCCUGAUGGCUGCGGUGUUUCUGGUAACGCUUUAUGAAUACUCGCCGCUUUUCUACAUCGCGGUGGUCUUUACCUGCUUCAUCGUGACCACCGGCCUGGUAUUGGGAUGGUUUGGUUGGGAUGUUCCAGUAAUUCUGAGAAAUUCAGAAGAGACCCAGUUCAGCACAAGAGUUUUCAAAAAGCAAAUGAGACAAGUCAAGAAUCCUUUUGGCUUAGAGAUCACUAAUCCAUCUUCAGCUUCAAUUACAAAUUUCCAUGGUGUCAGUGAUUCAUAUUCCUGAUAGGACUUAUAAACUAUCCUGCAGAAUAUUGUAUCAAUAUUUACUCUUGGCUCAAGGUCAAUUUCAUGAUCUUAAGCAACUUUUCAUGUCUGCAAAUAAUAAUUUCACUCCCUCCAACAAUUCCUCUUCAGAAGAAAAAAACACAGACAGAAGUUUGUUGGAAAAGGUGGGACUCUCUGAAAGUGAAGUUGAGCCAUCGGAAGAGAACAGCAAGGACUGUGUUGUUUGCCAGAAUGGGACUGUGAACUGGGUACUCUUACCAUGCAGACACACAUGCCUGUGUGAUGGCUGUGUG